UACGGAGGGAGCUAGCGUUGUUCGGAAUUACUGGGCGUAAAGCGCACGUAGGCGGCUUUGUAAGUUAGAGGUGAAAGCCCGGGGCUCAACUCCGGAACUGCCUUUAAGACUGCAUCGCUUGAAUCCAGGAGAGGUGAGUGGAAUUCCGAGUGUAGAGGUGAAAUUCGUAGAUAUUCGGAAGAACACCAGUGGCGAAGGCGACUACCUGGCCUGUUCUUGACGCUGAGGCGGCGAAAGCUAGGGGAGCAAACGGG
rnacentral:rRNA from 1 species